rnacentral:rRNA from 1 species
GAUGAACGCUGGCGGCGUGCCUAAUACAUGCAAGUCGAGCGAACAGACGAUGCGCUUGCUCCUCUGACGUUAGCCGCGGACGGGUGUGUAACACGUGUAUACCCUACCUAUAUGACUGGGAUAAUUUCGAGAAACCGGAGCUAAUACCGGAUAAUAUAUUGCACCGCAUGGUGCAAUAGUGAAAGACGGUGUUUCGGUCUCUUCUCGCUGCUUCUGCGCCGCAUUAGCUAGUAGGUAGGGUCAAGGCUUACCAAGGCAAGGAGGCGUAGACGACCUGAGUGAGUGGUAGGCCACACUGGAGGUGAGCCGCGGUCCAGAGUCCUGCGGGAGGGAGCAGUAUGGAAUCUUCCGCAGUGGGCGAAAGCUUGACGGAGCAACGGCGCGUGAGUUGUGAAGGUCCUGGGAUCGUGAAACUCGGUUACUAGGUAUGAACAAAUGUGUAAGGUAAUGUGCAGGUCUUGACGGUAAUGAAUCAGAAAGCCACGGCUAACUACGUG